CCUACUAUAUAUACCAGCUGCUAACCCCUUAAACCUAUACAUGCCAACUGCCAUUCUACUGACCCUACUAUAUAUACCAGCUGCUAACCCCUUAAACCUAUACAUGCCAACUGCCAUUCUACUGACCCUACUGUAACGGACCGUUUUGCACAAAAGGGGUUAACAGCCGUUUAGGAGAUCCUCCCCUUCCAGAGAUACAGGCACAGCUACUGCAGAACACCAAACUCCCGAACUGGAUACAAAAUAGCACUCCAACUCCUGAACUGGAACCUCCCAAAUAGCUGCU